rnacentral:misc_RNA from 1 species
GAUGAAGAACGUAGCGAAAUGCGAUAAGUAAUGUGAAUUGCAGAAUUCAGUGAAUCAUCGAAUCUUUGAACGCACAUUGCGCCCGCCAGUAUUCUGGCGGGCAUGCCUGUUCGAGCGUCAUUUCAACCAUCAAGCCCCCGGCUUGUGUUGGGGACCUGCGGCUGCCGCAGGCCCUGAAAACCAGUGGCGGGCUCGCUAGUCACUCCGAGCGUAGUAAUACAUCUCGCUCAGGGCGUGCUGCGGGUUCCGGCCGUUAAAAAGCCUUAUUUACCCAAGGUUGACCUCGGAUCAGGUAGGAAGACCCGAUGAACUUAAGCAUAUCAAUAGCGGAGGA